CCUACGGGUGGCAGCAGUGGGGAAUAUUGGACAAUGGGCGAAAGCCUGAUCCAGCCAUGCCGCGUGUGUGAAGAAGGCCUUCGGGUUGUAAAGCACUUUCAGUGGGGAAGAAAGCCUUGGGGCUAAUACCCUCGAGGAAGGACAUCACCCACAGAAGAAGCACCGGCUAACUCCGUGCCAGCAGCCGCGGUAAUACGGAGGGUGCGAGCGUUAAUCGGAAUUACUGGGCGUAAAGCGCGCGUAGGCGGUCUGAUAAGCCGGUUGUGAAAGCCCCGGGCUCAACCUGGGAACGGCAUCCGGAACUGGCAGGCUAGAGUGCAGGAGAGGAAGGUAGAAUUCCCGGUGUAGCGGUGAAAUGCGUAGAGAUCGGGAGGAAUACCAGUGGCGAAGGCGGCCUUCUGGACUGACACUGACGCUGAGGUGCGAAAGCGUGGGUAGCAAACAGGAUUAGAUACCCGGGUAGUC
rnacentral:rRNA from 1 species